rnacentral:rRNA from 1 species
UACGUAGGGCAGCAAGCGUUGUUCGGAGUUACUGGGCGUAAAGAGUGCGUAGGCGGUCCUGUAAGUUUGGUGUGAAAUCUCCCGGCUCAACUGGGAGGGUGCGCCGAAGACUGCAGGGCUUGAGUAUGGGAGAGGUAAGCGGAAUUACCUGGUGUAGCGGUGAAAUGCGUAGAUAUCAGGAGGAACACCUGUGGUGUAGACAGCUUACUGGACCAUAACUGACGCUGGAGGCACGAAAGCGUGGGUAGCAAACGGG